rnacentral:rRNA from 1 species
AUACGUAGGUGGCAAGCGUUGUCCGGAAUUAUUGGGCGUAAAGCGCAUGUAGGCGGUGCCUUAAGUCUGUCGUGAAACUGCGGGGCCUAACCCCGUAUGGCGAUGGAAACUGUGGCACUUGAGUGCAGGAGAGGAAAGGGGAACUCCCAGUGUAGCGGUGAAAUGCGUAGAUAUUGGGAAGAACACCGGUGGCGAAGGCGCCUUUCUGGACUGUGUCUGACGCUGAGAUGCGAAAGCCAGGGUAGCGAACGGGAUUAGAUACCCCGGUAGUCCUGGCCGUAAACGAUGGGUACUAGGUGUGGGAGGUAUCGACCCCUUCCGCGCCGGAGUUAACGCAAUAAGUACCCCGCCUGGGGAGUACGGCCGCAAGGCUUAAACUCAAAUGAAUUGACGGGG